rnacentral:misc_RNA from 1 species
AACGCACAUUGCACCCAGUGGGAGCUCCCCACAGGUAUGCAUGGCUGAGUAUCAGUACGGACCCAAAGCCUCUGAAAGGGUUGAAGCGCGCGGUUUCACGACCGUGUGCCUCGCCUCCGAUCUAGGCUCUGGUGCUCGACUCUGCCGCCACCGGCGACAGAGGCGGAUAUGGUUGUCCGAGGCGCGCGCACUUGUGCAAGCGACUCGGUCGACUGAAAUGUAUUGGACUUGCCGCCAACUUGGCUGCAGCCUGCGCACUAAGCAUUGUUAAUCAUCUUCGGAUGUCUUUGCUCUGAGGUGCAGGCCGCGUUUACGCCGGUUGCUUGCGGCUGUCCGAUUCAGCGUACAGCGUGGGCGCGCCCGAGGCGAACUGCCACUGGACUUGUCCUUUGGCGGCCGCGUCGGCGUGCGUGCACAACCCCAACCCACUUGAUCUCAGCUCACGCAAGAUGACCCGCUGAACUUAA